rnacentral:rRNA from 1 species
UGGGGAAUUGUUCGCAAUGGGCGCAAGCCUGACGACGCAACGCCGCGUGGAGGAUGAAGGUCUUCGGAUUGUAAACUCCUGUUGAUUGGGACGAAUGGCCGCCGGGCUAACAUCCUGGUGGUUUGACGGUACCGAUUGAGGAAGCCCCGGCUAACUCUGUGCCAGCAGCCGCGGUAAUACAGAGGGGGCAAGCGUUGUUCGGAAUUACUGGGCGUAAAGGGCGCGUAGGCGGCCGCCUAAGUCAGACGUGAAAUCCCUCGGCUCAACCGGGGAACUGCGUCUGAUACUGGGUGGCUUGAAUCCGGGAGAGGGAUGUGGAAUUCCAGGUGUAGCGGUGAAAUGCGUAGAUAUCUGGAGGAACACCGGUGGCGAAGGCGGCAUCCUGGACCGGUAUUGACGCUGAGGCGCGAAAGCCAGGGGAGCAAACGGG